GGAUUAAUUGUAUUUACCUUAUUUCUUAUGGGGAAAAUUGAUUAAAAAAUUGUCUUUCGAUAAUAGUCCCACUUCUAGGAACGGAUUAUGGACGAUUAUUGAGGGACCACUGUACGUACAUUAUUUAGGUAUGCAUACUGGUCAGAGCCCGUCAUAAGUGCGAGUCAUCGGUAAAUGAGUACAUCUUUAAGCAUACUUUUGAGGCUGAAGUGCCAAACCAGUGCUUUGAUGUUUUCUAAAGCAUUUGUUCCACAUGUAAUGUGGAAAACUAUACCAAACUGCAAGAGGCCAAAUAGACUUCUGGAUGAUUGGCGACUUUUGUAUUGUCCCAGAGGUCACUGGAUUCAUACUUUCAUCAAGUUGAGCACAGUAGUACUGUGGUACUCAAACUUAAUUCAUUCCAGAAGGCUGUUAGAAUACCAAAUAAGUUUUUCCCAUAAGGAAUAAUGUAAAUUAAUCAGUUUCAGACCCCUGAAAAAUACUUACAAAAUGUUUUGAUGCAGGAAAUGAAAUUUACCAAUGUUUUCAGUUUUUUUAUGCACAUUAACCCUUAAACUGUACAAACGUAGAUCUACAUUUUUCUAACAUUUGAAAGUAUGUAAAAAAAAAAGUAAUCUUUUUUUACAUUUGAAAACGUGUAAAAAAAAAAACUUUGAUCUACUUUUUUUUUUGUUAAUUUGAAAAUAUAUAAAAAAAACAUAGAUCUACUUUUGGAGCACUACGCAUGUGAACGUAGAUCUGCUUGGACAGUUUAAGGGUUAAAUAUGUUCAUGAUUUAACUCAGAGGAUGGAGAACCAGGGUAAAUUAUCCAAAAUUGGGUAAAAAUGAAGAUCUCUGGUAAUGAAGGCUAAGUAAACAAAUAAAGUUUCGGACUUAUUUAGUAAGUGAGAUGUAUUUUUUUUUCCCCCAUUUUUGGUCUGUUGGGUCAUUUCACUGUAUACACAAAUGUUUUGGGAUAAUACCCAAAAAAAAGUUUGCCGACCUCUGACUUAGCUAGGCUAAAGUUCUACCAGUGAUUUAUCAGAUUUUCUUGUAUACCCUGGAUUUCAAAAGCAGUGUCCUAAAUUUGCAGGAUUGUAAACAUUCUUUAAAUGUUAUUCUUUUGUAGCUUCCCAAAAAGCACCAGGAUGGACAUGUUCCCCUCUGGCCGUCAAGUGGAAGUAUAUUAAAUCCUCUUCUCUUGGGUGAGGCAAACUAGCAUAUCUUGCAGUGUGUCUCAAUUAGAAAAGGUACAAUAUUUAAACUGCUUUUAUUUUGUUACAGGAAGUUAAGUGGAUUUAAUUAGUGAACUUUUAUUAGUCGGAAGAGUUUUUUUUUCCAUAGAUCCUGUAAAUGUUUUAUGUCAUUUGUUUGCAGGCCAAUAAGAUGAAUUCUGUCCUGAAAGCUGUGAACUUCAAUGUUGAACCUUACUGGCCAGGCAUCUCAAGACCUACACCUUUGCUCAAUUGUUAGCAAUGGUAUUUGUGGAAGCAGUGAAAUGGUAGCAGUGCUGCUCCUUCAGAUGCAGCACCUGCUGAGGUUGAGAAGGAAGAGGCACUCCAGUUUGAAGAGUGAUAAUGACACUGGCUUCUACAUAACUUUUAUGCUUGUGUGGAUGUUAAAUGUUGCAUAUUUUUUAUUUAGGCGCAUGACUCAAAUCAAUCAUUGGAUGUACAUUCAUUGCUUAUAGCUUAAGUUUUUCUUUGCAUAAAUAGGUUUUGUAAUUCAAAAAUAAAUUUUACUGUCAA